GUGGGGAAUUUUGCGCAAUGGGGGAAACCCUGACGCAGCGACGCCGCGUGGAGGAUGAAGGCCUUCGGGUUGUAAACUCCUUUUAGAGGGGAAGAUUAUGACGGUACCCUCGGAAUAAGCCACGGCUAACUCUGUGCCAGCAGCCGCGGUAAGACAGAGGUGGCAAGCGUUGUUCGGAAUUACUGGGCUUAAAGGGCGCGUAGGCGGCAUGGCAAGUCCGCAGUGGAAUCCCGGGGCUCAACUCCGGAAUUGCUGUGGAAACUGCCGUGCUUGAGUCAGUGAGGGGAGGGCGGAAUUCCCGGUGUAGCAGUGAAAUGCGUAGAUAUCGGGAGGAAGGCCGGUGGCGAAGGCGGCCCUCUGGCGCUUGACUGACGCUGAGGCGCGAAAGCGUGGGGAGCAAACAGGAUUAGAAACCCGGGUAGUCC
rnacentral:rRNA from 1 species